UGUCUGGGAAACUGCCUGAUGGAGGGGGAUAACUACUGGAAACGGUAGCUAAUACCGCAUAACGUCGCAAGACCAAAGAGGGGGACCUUCGGGCCUCUUGCCAUCGGAUGUGCCCAGAUGGGAUUAGCUAGUAGGUGGGGUAACGGCUCACCUAGGCGACGAUCCCUAGCUGGUCUGAGAGGAUGACCAGCCACACUGGAACUGAGACACGGUCCAGACUCCUACGGGAGGCAGCAGUGGGGAAUAUUGCACAAUGGGCGCAAGCCUGAUGCAGCCAUGCCGCGUGUAUGAAGAAGGCCUUCGGGUUGUAAAGUACUUUCAGCGGGGAGGAAGGCGAUAAGGUUAAUAACCUUGUCGAUUGACGUUACCCGCAGAAGAAGCACCGGCUAACUCCGUGCCAGCAGCCGCGGUAAUACGGAGGGUGCAAGCGUUAAUCGGAAUUACUGGGCGUAAAGCGCACGCAGGCGGUCUGUCAAGUCGGAUGUGAAAUCCCCGGGCUCAACCUGGGAACUGCAUUCGAAACUGGCAGGCUAGAGUCUUGUAGAGGGGGGUAGAAUUCCAGGUGUAGC
rnacentral:rRNA from 1 species